AGAAGAGGAGGAGGAAGAGCAGGUCCUGGACCGCAGUGGAGGUCAGCGGCAAUGCAGGGAGGAGGAAGAGGAAGGGAAGAGACGGAGAGAAAGCAACAGUGGGAAGUGAGGUGCAGUGGUACAGUGAGCCCCCCGAAAGAGCGGCAUCGGACACAGUAUUAUCAGGCUAAAACCAGCCGUGGAUGAUGGCGAGGAGGAAGAGCAAGUGAGGAACAGGCUCAGCAGUUCAUCGGGCAGAUGCAUGUAAAGAUCGGCAUUGGCAGUCUGAGAUUUCAUGAUGGAGAAGAGACCCUGUCCUCCGGAGAAAGAUGAUAAGGUGGGUCCGAGCAGUGAACAAGCCAGGUGAAGACCAAAUAAACAGCCACCUUAAACCUGCCUCCAGCCACUUCAAUUCUGGUCUGUCCUGACCCAGGACCACUGUGUAGGGGCAAGAGAAUUCAUGGACCCCUUCCCACCUGCGAAGAACAAUCAAUGCUGGAAGCAGGAUCGGCGCAUCUCAGACGGACGGGG